rnacentral:rRNA from 1 species
CCUACGGGUGGCAGCAGUGAGGAAUAUUGGUCAAUGGACGGAAGUCUGAACCAGCCAUGCCGCGUGCAGGAUGACGGCUCUAUGAGUUGUAAACUGCUUUUGUACGAGAAUAAUAGUUCUUACGUGUAGGGAUUUGAAUGUAUCGUACGAAUAAGGAUCGGCUAACUCCGUGCCAGCAGCCGCGGUAAUACGGAGGAUGCGAGCGUUAUCCGGAUUUAUUGGGUUUAAAGGGUGCGCAGGCGGAGGCACAAGUCAGCGGUAAAAUCGCGGGGCUCAACCCCGCUCCGCCGUUGAAACUGUGUCCUUUGAGUGCGCGAAGGGUAGGCGGAAUGCGUGGUGUAGCGGUGAAAUGCAUAGAUAUCACGCAGAACUCCGAUCGCGAAGGCAGCCUACCGGCGCGCAACUGACGCUCAUGCACGAAAGCGUGGGUAUCGAACAGGAUUAGAUACCCUUGUAGUC